GACGAACGCUGGCGGCGUGCUUAACACAUGCAAGUCGAACGGAAAGGCCCUGCUUGCAGGGUACUCGAGUGGCGAACGGGUGAGUAACACGUGGGUGAUCUGCCCUGCACUUCGGGAUAAGCCUGGGAAACUGGGUCUAAUACCGGAUAGGAGCCAUUUUUAGUGUGAUGGUUGGAAAGUUUUUUCGGUGUAGGAUGAGCUCGCGGCCUAUCAGCUUGUUGGUGGGGUAAUGGCCUACCAAGGCGGCGACGGGUAGCCGGCCUGAGAGGGUGGACGGCCACAUUGGGACUGAGAUACGGCCCAGACUCCGACGGGAGGCAGCAGUGGGGAAUAUUGCACAAUGGGCGCAAGCCUGAUGCAGCGACGCCGCGUGGGGGAUGACGGCCUUCGGGUUGUAAACUCCUUUCGCUAGGGACGAAGCUUUUUGUGACGGUACCUAGAUAAGAAGCACCGGCUAACUACGU
rnacentral:rRNA from 1 species